rnacentral:rRNA from 1 species
AUUGAACGCUGGCGGCAGGCCUAACACAUGCAAGUCGAACGGUAACAGGAAGAAGCUUGCUUCUUUGCUGACGAGUGGCGGACGGGUGAGUAAUGUCUGGGAAACUGCCUGAUGGAGGGGGAUAACUACUGGAAACGGUAGCUAAUACCGCAUAACGUCGCAAGACCAAAGAGGGGGACCUUCGGGCCUCUUGCCAUCGGAUGUGCCCAGAUGGGAUUAGCUAGUAGGUGGGGUAACGGCUCACCUAGGCGACGAUCCCUAGCUGGUCUGAGAGGAUGACCAGCCACACUGGAACUGAGACACGGUCCAGACUCCUACGGGAGGCAGCAGUGGGGAAUAUUGCACAAUGGGCGCAAGCCUGAUGCAGCCAUGCCGCGUGUAUGAAGAAGGCCUUCGGGUUGUAAAGUACUUUCAGCGGGGAGGAAGGGAGUAAAGUUAAUACCUUGGCUGAUUGACGUUACCCGCAGAAGAAGCACCGGCUAACUCCGUG